rnacentral:misc_RNA from 1 species
GGAAGUAAAAGUCGUAACAAGAUUUCCGUAGGUGAACCUGCGGAAGGAUCAUUAUUGUAUAACCGAGGUGCGAGGGCUGUCGCUGACCCGAAAGGUCGUGCACGCCCGAGUGCCCUCACACACAUCCAUCUCACCCCUAUGUGCACCACCGCGUGGGUCCCCCUUUGGCUUGUUCGAAGGGGGGCUUACGUUUUCACACAAACUUUGUAUGCAGUGUAGAAUGUAUUUUUUGUUUUUGCGAUCACGCAAUCAAUACAACUUUCAACAACGGAUCUCUUGGCUCUC